UGCCAGCCGCCGCGGUAACACGGAGGGUGCAAGCGUUAAUCGGAAUUACUGGGCGUAAAGCGCGCGUAGGUGGCCAAGUCAGUCAGAUGUGAAAGCCCUGGGCUCAACCUGGGAACUGCAUCUGAUACUGCUUGGCUAGAGUAUGGUAGAGGGGUGUGGAAUUUCCUGUGUAGCGGUGAAAUGCGUAGAUAUAGGAAGGAACACCGGUGGCGAAGGCGACUUCCUGGGCCAAUACUGACGCUGAGGCGCGAAAGCGUGGGUAGCAAACAGGAUUAGAUA
rnacentral:rRNA from 1 species